rfam:Phlebotomus papatasi Contig1330.1, whole genome shotgun sequence.
AAAACAGCCCUUUUUAGGGCUAUCAAAUUUUUUUAUAAAGAGUUUU